rnacentral:lncRNA from 1 species
AAAAAGGAGGUUAGAGCGUGAAUAUGGAAAUGGAUGUGCCAAUGAGCUAGUCUUAUUUCAUGGUACAACACCAGAUAAACUGGAUGUCAUUGCUGAACAAAAUUUAGACCCACGACUUGCUGGAGGUCGUGUAGGUGCAUUGUUUGGUAGAGGUACUUACUUUGCCACAGAUGCUAAAUAUUCUGAUUUGUAUGCCCAAGCUGAUCAAGAUGGACAUAAAUUCAUGUUUCUUGUGAAGGUGUUAGCAGGGAAGACUUGUAUUGGCAGACCAGAGUAUUUAAGACCACCACCUCAAGAUACCAAGAAUCCAAACAGUCCAUUGUUUGAUAGCUGUGUUGACAAUGAGAAGAACCCUAGAAUAUAUUGUGCUUUCCAUGACACUCAAUAUUACCCAGAACACCUUAUUGAAUACACAUAAACUUUUAUAACCUUUUAUGGAAAUGAUGUUUUGCUUUUCCUCAGUUUUGUAAACAUUGCAGAAAUGCAUAACUUUAACCUUAACAAGAUUUGCAGCUUUAAUGUUGUUAAGGUGGCUGAACUAUAUAUGUGCUGAGAUGUCUUGUGAUGUCAGCUUUUUAUAUAUAUAAUUUUGACUAAUUGUCAUACAUGUAUGAUAGUAGUUUUUGGAUGUUAUUUAUUUAUCACAAUUGCAUAUACUGUGGAUUCAUUGUUUUUUGUUGGGUGCCAAUUUGUUUGGGGUUUCAUGUGUACAGGUAAACCAUGAAUUAAAAUAUUCAACCAAUUACUAAUUUUCUAUAGGCUUUUAUGCAGAGAUUGGUAAAACCUCGAAUAUGGAAAAUCUGUGGAAAUGCAUGUUUUCUUCAAUCCACGAAAAGAAAUGAAUCUCCAGUAGUAAAGGUAUAUAUGGUUAUCACUGUUGAACAAAUAUCAUACACUGGCUGGACAUGAUGGAAAAGAUGUCUAAAUCCACAGUAGUAAAGGUAUAUGUGGUUAUCACUGUUGAACAAAUAUCUGGAUGAACAUGAUGGAAAAGAUGUCUAGAUAUUGUUUGUGUUAGUCACUGUGUAGUUUGAAAAAUGACAAUGUUUUCUUGUGUAAUCACUUCAAACAAUUUUCCUUUUUAUGGUCAAAUGAAAGCAAUUACAUUUUACAUGUUUAUUGAAUUUUCUGAUAUAUAUUUUUAACUUCUUCAACCUUUUAGUAAACAUUCUUUUUUACCUAGUUAUGGAAGUACACCACUAAUUCAUGGACUAUUGCUUUUCUUUGUUUCAAGCAGACACAACUCUUUUGUUUUAAGUUGGAAAAAAGUAACCAUCAUUGCAUGUCAAAGCAACACAUUAUGGUGUCUUGUAUUGAAAAAAAAUCAACAUACCUUUUUAAUAAUGUCAUAUAAAAAAAAUGGUUCCCGCAACUUAUGAUGCAUGAAAACAGGUACUUCAGAUCUGACACACAGGCAAAAUGUACCCAUUUGAUUCCAAAAAUACUUUAAUGUUCUACAUAUUUUUAAAUAUUUUGUGUAGGAAAUAUUUUGUGUUAAAUAUAUACUCCUUUCUGACUGGGCCUUAAUUAGUGGUGUUACACCUUAUGCAGCUAAAUAGAGACAACUUGGUUAAUAAUAAUUCAUUAUUUGUAUGAUAUAAUUACUUUUUUGUUAGUCUAAUCUAUCAUUUCAGUUAAAAGUGUUGAUAGGCAAACUUUGUUACAGCU